GACGAACGCUGGCGGCGUGCUUAACACAUGCAAGUCGAACGGAAAGGCCCUGCUUUUGUGGGGUGCUCGAGUGGCGAACGGGUGAGUAACACGUGAGUAACCUGCCCUUGACUUUGGGAUAACUUCAGGAAACUGGGGCUAAUACCGGAUAGGAGCUCCUGCUGCAUGGUGGGGGUUGGAAAGUUUCGGCGGUUGGGGAUGGACUCGCGGCGUAUCAGCUUGUUGGUGGGGUGGUGGCUUACCAAGGCAUUGACGGGUAGCCGGCCUGAGAGGGUGACCGGCCACAUUGGGACUGAGAUACGGCCCAGACUCCUACGGGAGGCAGCAGUGGGGAAUGUUGCACAAUGGGCGGAAGCCUGAUGCAGCAACGCCGCGUGCGGGAUGACGGCCUUCGGGUUGUAAACCGCUUUCGCCUGUGACGAAGCGUGAGUGACGGUAAUGGGUAAAGAAGCACCGGCUAACUACGUG
rnacentral:rRNA from 1 species